UCGAGCCCAUCCGGGUGCGU
rnacentral:misc_RNA from 1 species